GACGAACGCUGGCGGCGUGCUUAACACAUGCAAGUCGAACGGUGAAGCGCCUUCCUUUUUGGUGGGUGUGGAUGAGUGGCGCACGGGUGAGUAACACGUGAGUAACCUGCCCCCUUCUUCUGGAUAACCGCAUGAAAGUGUGGCUAAUACGGGAUAUUCUGGGUCUGUCGCAUGAUGGGUCUGGGAAAGAUAUUGUUUCGGUGGGGGAUGGGCUCGCGGCCUAUCAGCUUGUUGGUGGGGUGAUGGCCUACCAAGGCGGUGACGGGUAGCCGGCCUGAGAGGGUGGACGGUCACACUGGGACUGAGACACGGCCCAGACUCCUACGGGAGGCAGCAGUGGGGAAUAUUGCACAAUGGGCGCAAGCCUGAUGCAGCGACGCCGCGUGAGGGAUGGAGGCCUUCGGGUUGUGAACCUCUUUCGCCAGUGAAGCAGGCCUGCCUCGUUUGUGGGUGGGUUGACGGUAGCUGGAGAAGAAGCGCCGGCUAACUACGUG
rnacentral:rRNA from 1 species